CCUCGCUGGGCUCCGCUCGCUCGCAGCCCCGCGCGUGGCCUGCGUUCAAACACCGCCGCUUCUGCUAAGCUCGAGAGCAGUUGGCCCCGGCGCAGUUGUUUACCAUCGACCCCCUCGUGAUCUCACUCUGUAGCCCAGGCUGGUCCCCAACUUGAGCUUCUGCCUCCUGAGAGCUGCUGGGAUCACAGCAUAUGUCACCAUGCCUAGGUAAUCUGUCCCAGCCAUGAGAAGGUAACUAAUGCAGUCCUUCAGCUCCUUCCUCUUCAGCCGGGUCACUACACUGACUCCCUGACUCUCCAGUGCAAUUGAGAUCUCAUUGCUUUUGGUUAUGACUUGAUUGGUCCUUCCUUUCCCUUCUGCUUUCCUCUACUAGGGUUUCCUGGGGUGACUCCCCAAAUACUGGCAUUCCAUUCUUUAUCCUCUGGUUUGCUUCUGGGAACCCCAAAGAGGACAAAUCUCCUGGUGUAGUAAGUUUCUCACUGCUCUGGACACCGUGAAGGGUAUGGAAUGGAAAAGGGAGAGAGAUUAAGAAAUACAGUUCACAAAUUCGCUCAUACAUUGUUUCUCCAGUAAAGAUUUGUUAAGCAUCUAUUUCAUACUAUGCUCUAUGCUCAGUGCUGACCAGGAAUUCCAUCACCUAGGGCUCUGAGGAGUCACCCAACACUUAAAUCUUAUCAAGCUUGCCUCUGCAGGCACAGCCACAUUGGCAGUGGGAGUGUUAAAAAGAGGAAGUUUCAGGGCUGGAGAGAUGGCUUAGCGGUUAAGCGCUUGCCUGUGAAGCCUAAGGACCCCGGUUCGAGGCUCGGUUCCCCAGGUCCCACGUUAGCCGAGAUGCACAA